CCCAUCUGGCCCGGGCCACGGACUGCUGACUGAACGGACCUACCAGGUGGGAAACUCUGUCUACGUUAGACGGCAUCGCACUCAAGGACUAAAGCCUCGGUGGAAAGAACCCUACAUUGUUCUCCUGACCAGUCACCCCUUCCAGCCAUAAAGGUUGACGGAAUCUCCACUUAGAUCCACGCAUCCCACGCCAAGGCUGCUCCAGAGACGUCCGGAUCAACACCACUUAAGACGUGAAAACUCCAACGCUCCGCGGACCCGCUCAAGAUAAGACUCUCUCGUAUCUAACUCCUUACUUAUUGUUUACCCUUCUUCCCUGCGCCGUCUCUAGUGUAGUUUUUGACGCUAACCCCCACCGGCCAUUUAGCCUGACCUGACAGAUAAUUAAUUUUAAUAAUCAAGAGGUCUUAAAUAAGACCUCCGAGAAUGCUCCUAUAAAGACUUGGUUUCCAGACCUCUAUUUCAACCUAAAAAAAAUAUAUAUAUAUAGCAAAAAAAAAAUAAAAGACACAGGCCCCCGGUUUACUAGUCCCACAGGAGUCCUAUUAAGAACUCCUCAAGAUAGACAAAAAUAGAAAAGACAGGCUAGAAAAAUGUCCAUCAGCCGGAACAGGUUUUAUGCCUGUCCCGGACACAAGACAGAACCAAUAAAAAACUUGUAGAAAUCUGACUCACUUGUAUUGCAAAAACUGGUCCUGUGUAACUACUAAUAAUAAAAAGUAAAAAUAA